rnacentral:rRNA from 1 species
UAGGGAAUCUUCGGCAAUGGGGGCAACCCUGACCGAGCAACGCCGCGUGAGUGAAGAAGGUUUUCGGAUCGUAAAGCUCUGUUGUAAGAGAAGAACGAGUGUGAGAGUGGAAAGUUCACACUGUGACGGUAACUUACCAGAAAGGGACGGCUAACUACGUGCCAGCAGCCGCGGUAAUACGUAGGUCCCGAGCGUUAUCCGGAUUUAUUGGGCGUAAAGCGAGCGCAGGCGGUUAGAUAAGUCUGAAGUUAAAGGCUGUGGCUUAACCAUAGUACGCUUUGGAAACUGUUUAACUUGAGUGCAGAAGGGGAGAGUGGAAUUCCAUGUGUAGCGGUGAAAUGCGUAGAUAUAUGGAGGAACACCGGUGGCGAAAGCGGCUCUCUGGUCUGUAACUGACGCUGAGGCUCGAAAGCGUGGGGAGCAAACAGGAUUAGAUACCCUGGUAGUCCACGCCGUAAACGAUGAGUGCUAGGUGCUGGGUCCUUUCCGGGACUCAGUGCCGCAGCUAACGCAUUAAGCACUCCGCCUGGGGAGUACGACCGCAAGGUUG